GAUGAACGCUGGCGGCGUGCUUAACACAUGCAAGUCGAACGGAAAGGCCCAAGCUUGCUUGGGUACUCGAGUGGCGAACGGGUGAGUAACACGUGGGUGAUCUGCCCUGCACUUCGGGAUAAGCCUGGGAAACUGGGUCUAAUACCGGAUAGGACGAUGGUUUGGAUGCCAUUGUGGAAAGUUUUUUCGGUGUGGGAUGAGCUCGCGGCCUAUCAGCUUGUUGGUGGGGUAAUGGCCUACCAAGGCGUCGACGGGUAGCCGGCCUGGGAGGGUGUACGGCCACAUUGGGACUGAGAUACGGCCCAGACUCCUACGGGGGGCAGCAGUGGGGAAUAUUUCACAAUGGGCGCAAGCCUGAUGCAGCGACGCCGCGUGGGGGAUGACGGCCUUCGGGUUGUAAACUCCUUUCGCUAGGGACGAAGCGUUUUGUGACGGUACCUGGAGAAGAAGCACCGGCUAACUACGUG
rnacentral:rRNA from 1 species